UACAUGGGGUGCAAACGUUGUUCGGAAUUACUGGGCGUAAAGCGCGUGUAGGCGGUUGUCAAAGUCGGGUGUGAAAGCCUUGAGCUUAACUCAAGAAAUGCACUCGAUACUUGGUGACUAGAGGACCGGAGAGGAUAGUGGAAUUCCCAGUGUAGUGGUGAAAUACGUAGAGAUUGGGAAGAACACCAGUGGCGAAGGCGGCUAUCUGGACGGUUUCUGACGCUAAGACGCGAAAGCGUGGGGAGCAAACAGG
rnacentral:rRNA from 1 species